CAACAGAAAGGCUACGAGAACUGGGCAGGAGAUAGAGUCGAAUCCUUUGCACCAGAACCACAUAAAAAGCAAAUGUCUGAAUCUUAAAAUCAACAGUACCACCACAACAAAACAGAUUCAGAUUAGUUUUAAACUGUUUUUGUUCCUUUAGCUGGGGCUAGCCAGGGGGACUCCAUUUUAUGUUAAAUAAAUAUAAAUCAAAGAAGCGUAGAAAGAGGCUCGUAAAUACACAAAGCUGUGUUCAGAUCUUAUAAAACACAAGUGAGUGGAAAGUCCUGAACUUCCCUGGGGGGGGUGUGUGGGCAGAAGCAGGAAGCGGCUGCUGCGUCUCAGGUGAUGAUGUCACUGCUGCUCACACCAGUGAAGCUCCGCGCUGCUGAAGGAGAUCGAGACUGCUCGUGCUGAAGCAGAUCCGAUGAGGAUCGUCGGAGUGCAACAUCCAGGAAUCGAACGUGUGACACAAACCACCCGGUACAACAGCAGCGUUUGAAGGAGAAACAAGAGGAUCGGCUGAGCUCGUGGUGCCGAUUGUCCUCUCCCACUGGAGCCAUGGCGGCAGCAGUCCUGAAGAUGUACUUUAUUGGAACCGCGCUGACCGUCUUUGCGGUCAUUUACAGUUUGGUGGACUCCAUCGGCGGCCUGAUGUACGUCCCGGACCAGAACUACACACUGGAUCUUUACCAGCAGACGCACAGAGAGCCAUCGUCAAGAGACCACCGCAGAGGCUCGUGUGUGGAGAAAGGAAUCGGCUCGUAGUGGAAACAUCUGGACGUACGACAAUGUCUGCUAGAUGGACAUGUUGGACACCGGCGAUGGACCAAGAGACAGAAACUACAGGAGACAAUAACUACUGGUUUCAUCGCUGACAAUACACGUCACCGUGCCUGACUUGGUGGACAUGUUGUGCCCGGGACAGUGUUUCUUUAGGUGGAUGCAUGUCUGCUGUUCCUACUUUGCACCAUCUGCUGUAAAACACAGCUGUGUUUAAUCCCCUGGCAGUCUGAUGACAAACGUAACUGCACUACUGAACGAUGACAUGCAUUAAAUAUUACAAUGUUGUUGUCUUUUGUAAAUAUUCUUUCAGGUCAUUGUGUGUUUUUUUUCUAAAUAAAAUGAAUUGAAUCAAAA